GAUCCUGGCUCAGGAUGAACGCUGGCGGCGUGCUUAACACAUGCAAGUCGAGCGAAGCACCCGGACGGAUUUCUUCGGAUUGAAGUCUGGGCGACUGAGCGGCGGACGGGUGAGUAACGCGUGGGUAACCUGCCUCAUACAGGGGGAUAACAGUUAGAAAUGACUGCUAAUACCGCAUAAGCGCACGAAGGCGCAUGCCUUUGUGUGAAAAACUCCGGUGGUAUGAGAUGGACCCGCG
rnacentral:rRNA from 1 species